AAACCAACAGGGAUUGCCCUAGUAACGGCGAGUGAAGCGGCAACAGCUCAAAUUUGAAAUCUGGUCCCUCGGGGCCCGAGUUGUAAUUUGCAGAGGAUGCUUUUGGCGCGGUGCCUUCCGAGUGCCCUGGAACGGGACGCCACAGAGGGUGAGAGCCCCGUAUGGUUGGAUACCAAGCCUAUGUAAAGCUCCUUCGACGAGUCGAGUAGUUUGGGAAUGCUGCUCAAAAUGGGAGGUAAACCCCUUCUAAAGCUAAAUACUGGCCAGAGACCGAUAGCGCACAAGUAGAGUGAUCGAAAGAUGAAAAGCACUUUGAAAAGAGAGUUAAAAAGCACGUGAAAUUGUUGAAAGGGAAGCGUUUGCGACCAGACUUGCGCCCGUCGAAUCAACCGUCCCUCGUGGGCGGUGCACUUUGGCGGGCUCAGGCCAGCAUCAGUUUACUGCAGGGGGAGAAAGGCGCCGGGAAUGUGGCUCUUCGGAGUGUUAUAGCCCGGCGCGUAAUACCCCUCGGUGGACUGAGGACCGCGCGUAUGCAAGGAUGCUGGCGUAAUGGUCGUCAGCGAC
rnacentral:rRNA from 1 species